UAGAGUUUGAUCCUGGCUCAGAACGUACGCUGGCGGCACGCCUAACACAUGCAAGUCGAACGAAGUAGCAAUACUUAGUGGCAGACGGGUGAGUAACAUGUAGGUAUCUGCCCUUUGGCCUGGAAUAACACGAGGAAACUUGUGCUAAUACCGGAUAAGUCUUUACGGAGAAAGCUUUAUGCACCAUUGGAUGAGCCUGCACUUGAUUAGUUUGUUGGUGGGGUAAUGGCCUACCAAGACUGUGAUCAAUAGCUGAUUUGAGAGGAUGAUCAGCCACAUUGGGACUGAGACACGGCCCAAACUCCUACGGGAGGCAGCAGUGGGGAAUCUUGCACAAUGGAGGAAACUCUGAUGCAGCGAUGCCGCGUGAGUGAAGAAGGCCCUUGGGUUGUAAAGCUCUUUCGUCGGGGAAGAAAAUGACUGUACCCGAAUAAGAAGGUCCGGCUAACUUCGUGCCAGCAGCCGCGGUAAUGCGAAGGGACCUAGCGUAGUUCGGAUUUACUGGGCUUAAAGAGUUCGUAGGUGGUUGAAAAAGUUGGUGGUGAAAUCCCAGAGCUUAACUCUGGAACUGCCAUCAAAACUUUUCAGCUAGAGUAUGAUAGAGGAAAGCAGAAUUUCUAGUGUAGAGGUGAAAUUCGUAGAUAUUAGAAAGAAUACCAAUUGCGAAGGCAGCUUUCUGGAUCAUUACUGACACUGAGGAACGAAAGCAUGGGUAGCGAAGAGGAUUAGAUACCCUCGUAGUCCAUGCCGUAAACGAUGUGUGUUAGACGUUGGAAAUUUAUUUUCAGUGUCGCAGCGAAAGCGAUAAACACACCGCCUGGGGAGUACGACCGCAAGGUUAAAACUCAAAUGAAUUGACGGGGACCCGCACAAGUAGUGGAGCAUGUGGUUUAAUUCGAAGAUACGCGCAGAACCUUACCAACACUUGACAUGUUCGUCGCGACUCUAAGAGAUUAGAGUUUUCGGUUCGGCCGGACGAAACACAGGUGCUGCAUGGCUGUCGUCAGCUCGUGUCGUGAGAUGUUGGGUUAAGUCCCGCAACGAGCGCAACCCUCACUUUUAGUUGCCAUCAUUAAGUUGGGCACUCUGAAAGAACUGCCAGUGAUAAGCUGGAGGAAGGUGGGGAUGACGUCAAGUCCUCAUGGCCCUUACGUGUUGGGCUACACACGUGCUACAAUGGUAUCUACAACAGGAAGCAAAACUGCGAAGUUAAGCAAAUCCCUAAAAGAUACCUCAGUUCGGAUUGCACUCUGCAACUCGAGUGCAUGAAGCUGGAAUUACUAGUAAUCGUGGAUCAGCGUGCCACGGUGAAUGCGUUCCCGGGUCUUGUACACACCGCCCGUCACACCAUGGGAGUUGGUUCUACCUUAAGGCAAGGUUUCAAACCCUUGACCACGGUAUAGUCAGCGACUGGGGUGAAGUCGUAACAAGGUAACCUA
rnacentral:rRNA from 1 species